UACAGAGACUGCAAGCGUUAUUCGGAUUCACUGGGCGUAAAGCGCACGUAGGCGGGUCUUUAAGUCAGGGGUGAAAUCCUGGAGCUCAACUCCAGAACUGCCUUUGAUACUGAGGAUCUCGAGUCCGGGAGAGGUGAGUGGAACUCCGAGUGUAGAGGUGAAAUUCGUAGAUAUUCGCAAGAACACCAGUGGCGAAGGCGGCUCACUGGCCCGAUACUGACGCUGAGGCACGAAAGCGUGGGGAGCAAACAGG
rnacentral:rRNA from 1 species